CCUUGACUUCUGCCAUGAUUCUCCCCAGCCACGUGAAACUUGAGCUAUCUUUGGAAUGAGCAGCCUGCAUUCAGAAAUUGAAGUUGACUUAUAGAGCCAAUAAAAGCCCCUUGGAAGAGCUGGUCUUGUACCUUGUCUAUGCAGUUCCUUUACAGGAUUUCUGAUGUGAAAGUCUUGCUCCGUCAUCCAAGCUGGAGUGCAGUGGUGCAAUCAUAGCUCACUGCAACCUCCACCUCCUGACUGAAGCAAAUCUUAUUCCUAACAGCUUGCAAAGUGGAUUUUAUCAUCAUCAUUUUAAAAAUUAUGGAAUCGAGGAUCAAAGAAGCCAAGUGACUCGUGCAAGAUGACACAUAUUAACAGAUGUGAAAGUUGUCAGAGUCAAAAUGAGUCACUAGUGUGAAAAAAAACUCUGACAAAUAGAGCCAGAGAAGACCAUGAAGAGAGGAUCCUCAUGCCUGAUAACAAAACUAUCACAAAAGACUCUGCAAAAGCCACAAGUUUAUACAAAGGCCAUCACAACCUUAUAUGAAAACUACUUCUGCAAGGACAUCUGCCCAGCAACUGCCUAUAGAACCUCACAGUGGCAUCAUUCUGGCUAUUGAUCUUUGUAGCUAGUUUUUUUUUUUUUUUUUCAAAAUGACUAGAUAAUAAUCCCAAUUUUUUCCUUUAAAAACUCGAAUAUGUAGAUCAUUUUACUAUGGCACAUGCAUUUCCAUUGAAAUGUGCUACUCCCAAAUAAACAUCAGUUUCUCAUA
rnacentral:lncRNA from 1 species